CGCACCUUCUCUCUCCUGCAUCAGGUGUGGGGCUAAGCGGCCUUCGCCAGGACGUCUCCCCUCCGGCUCUUUCUUAAAAGACACUGAGCGGGGCGUGGGAGGGAAGACGGUGCACACCGGUGGUUUAAAGCCUGGCAAACAACCGUCGCCAGAGCCUAAAACCAAUUCUGGGCAUUUCACCUAGAUCCCGCCAGAGGCUGGGGCUGUGGGCUCCGAGGGAGGACGGCUGAGGAGAGGCCCGCUCACCCCUGCCACCAAGCUCAGCGCGCAAAGAGACAGAAGCGGGCCUCCUCCCCGUCGCCCCCUGUGCGCAGCGUGAGGCCAAACUCCACCUGGGGCUGCUCUGAGUGGGGUAGGGGUGAAAUGCCACCAGAUCAGUAGCGAGGAGCAGCUGUGGACCCGCUCUCCGGGGAACCUCACAGCUCAGAGCCUUCCAGAGCGCAGAAUGGUCAGAAAAGUAAAAAUUCAUCGGAAGCAGGGGUUCGUGAUAAGGUGACCUCGAAGAGAAUCACUCGCCUCCCACAGACGCCCGCCCGCGGUGGGAGAGAGGGUGUCCGUGGUCUCAAGUCACGGUGCCCCGACUCUACGGACGUGGACGGAUAUCACCCAGGGAGCUGCCUUCCUGCCCGAGUAGUACUCGGAGGCUGGGAUCUCUCUUCGCCGCCAACCCUGGCUUUGCCUCAGGCACCGAACUUUCCAAUACCAAGAUAUUAACAGAUGGUGGCUAGCACAUGGUGGCGGUUACUUACAUAAUCCAGCCACUCCGCUGGCCGCGCGGGCCGGAGAGGCGCCCGGCAGGCCUUGCGCGGGCUUUUCGAGGGGCGCCCUUGCUCCCCCCAAAUGACUUGCUUUCUCCAACCCUACCCGGCGCUUUGAGGGCCAAGUCUGGAGAGGCCAAGCUUUCUGUAUAAAAUAUACAUUUAUCUGGUUGUGCUUGAUCGUC